rnacentral:rRNA from 1 species
UGGGGAAUAUUGCACAAUGGGCGCAAGCCUGAUGCAGCAAUGCCGCGUGAGUGAAGACGGCCUUAGGGUUGUAAAACUCUUUCGCUAGGGAAGAUAAUGACGGUACCUAGUAAAGAAGUCCCGGCUAACUCCGUGCCAGCAGCCGCGGUAAUACGGAGGGGACUAGCGUUGUUCGGAAUUACUGGGCGUAAAGCGCACGUAGGCGGACCAGAAAGUUGGGGGUGAAAUCCCGGGGGCUCAACCCCGGAACUGCCUCCAAAACUAUUGGUCUAGAGUUCGAGAGAGGUGAGUGGAAUUCCAAGUGUAGAGGUGAAAUUCGUAGAUAUUUGGAGGAACACCAGUGGCGAAGGCGGCUCACUGGCUCGAUACUGACGCUGAGGUGCGAAAGUGUGGGGAGCAAACAGGAGUUAGAUACCCUGGUAGUCCACACCGUAAAACGAUGAAUGCCAGUCGUCGGGUAGCAUGCUAUUCGGUGACACA